rnacentral:lncRNA from 1 species
CACUCUUGGAGACACGAGGAUGGGAACUGGAGACAUUACCGCCUGGACUGCCCUAAUGCUAAGUGCAAGGGCUUUGGCCACUCGCCCUGGAAGGCGGAAUAUGGAGAGCGGCCGACUAAGUGCAGAAAAGUAUCUGGAGCUAAAAGGGCUUGGAGCCCGGCGACAAGGGUUUGAGAGGGGCACUUAUGCUCCCAUUCAGUGAAAUCAGUGGAUCAAUAUCAGCUCCAUGUGGUCUGGAACUGCAGGAGGAAGAAAGCAACUACUGCAUAAAGAAAAACCCAGAGAAAAUGGAA